GUGAAUCAUCGAAUCUUUGAACGCAAAUUGCGCCUUUUUCGGAAGGCAUGUCUGUUUGAGGGCACCAUUUAACAAAUAAUGUGCAGCGUUUUUUGUUGCACACGUUGAUGAGCUUUCCAAGAAUUUUAAAUUUUUGUUGUUGCAUAUUGACCAUCGUGAAGGUUUUUUUAGUUUCAAGGUUAGUAAAAUCUUGCCUGGGGUGGUAAAAAAAAAUAAUCGCCCAA
rnacentral:misc_RNA from 1 species